CAUUGAAACCCACAGAGGCUACAUGGUUAGAAAAUUGUGCAUUGGGACACUGCCCCAGGGAGAAGAGGAGAGACGUGGGGCUACACCAUCAUCCAAUUCUUUAUGUACUUCCCUUUCAUUUUUUAAAUUGAUUCUUUUUGGAAGUGGAGGGGGCCAUUAUGCACUAUCCUCCCUAAAUAUAACAUGACUACUUGCCUUUUAAAUACUACACAAAACUGUUAUUAGCUUCAGUGGUACAGUAGUUAUGUUAUAGCAAGAACAGCAUUGAGCCUAUUCUUGUCUCUCUCUUAUUUUCCUGUCUUGUCUCUAUCUCCCUCACAGUUUUGUCAGCUGUUUGCAUUUCAUUGCCACACUUUGUGCUCCAAUCAUUUCCUCUCUAACCCACUUCCUGUCUUGUAAAAAGAGAAGUCCACUUGAUUCUCUGUUUGCUCAGAGCUGCAGUCUACAGACGCCUAACAGCCUCCUGUGUAGCAGCUUCCUGUGUGCUAACGUGUUUAUUCACAACACAGGAGCCGGGUCAGCAUUAUCUUCAAGGACCAGUAUCUGUGCCAUAAGAGGUAGUGUUGGUGGCUCAGUGAAGAUCCAACACCUUGGCUGUUCCUGGGUACAUGACAUGACACCCCACUCUGAUUAACCAGUCUCUCUUUUUGGUAUUUAGUCCCAGUGCUGGCAGUUUCCAAGUCCAUCAAUACAUUUAGAACACAGAUAUCAGGAACCGCUACAAAGCCAUUAGUCUCAACAAGCCGGUGUCCUUUCUCUCAAGAAAGCCAGCUGUUCCUCUUCUGAACAAAUCAAUGCUCUUUGAUCCCCUGAAAUCAAGCCGCUGAAGCUAGGCAGUAUGAAAGACUAAAGCCGUACCUGUGCCUUCUCCCUGCGCGCCCGCACCAGCGUGUCGUG